GGCACAUGGUCAAAAAUGAAGGCUUUGAUUGUUCACAGUCAGUUACAGAUUGAACUCCUUGUUCUACUACUUUCCCCGCCUCCUCACUACUGCACUUGACUAGUCUUAA
rnacentral:sRNA from 1 species